UACGUAGGGGGCAAGCGUUGUCCGGAUUUACUGGGCGUAAAGCGCGCGUAGGCGGAAGGGUAAGUCCGGUCUGAAAGCCCCCGGCUCAACCGGGGAAGGUGGCUGGAAACUGCUUUUCUUGAGGGCGACAGAGGAGUGUGGAAUUCCUGGUGUAGCGGUGAAAUGCGUAGAGAUCAGGAGGAACACCCAUGGCGAAGGCAGCACUCUGGGUCGGCCCUGACGCUGAGGUGCGAAAGCGUGGGGAGCGAACGGG
rnacentral:rRNA from 1 species